rnacentral:rRNA from 1 species
GUGGGGAAUUUUGGACAAUGGGCGAAAGCCUGAUCCAGCAAUGCCGCGUGCAGGAUGAAUGCCUUCGGGUUGUAAACUGCUUUUGUACGGAACGAAAAGCUUCGGGUUAAUACCCUGGAGCCAUGACGGUACCGUAAGAAUAAGCACCGGCUAACUACGUGCCAGCAGCCGCGGUAAUACGUAGGGUGCAAGCGUUAAUCGGAAUUACUGGGCGUAAAGCGUGCGCAAGCGGUUUUGUAAGACAGAGGUGAAAUCCCCGGGCUCAACCUGGGAACUGCCUUUGUGACUGCAAAGCUAGAGUACGGCAGAGGGGGAUGGAAUUCCGCGUGUAGCAGUGAAAUGCGUAGAUAUGCGGAGGAACACCGAUGGCGAAGGCAAUCCCCUGGGCCUGCACUGACGCUCAUGCACGAAAGCGUGGGGAGCAAACAGGAUUAGAUACCCCUGUAGUCC